UCCAGGUAAAUCCGGUUCACUUUAACACUGAGGCGUGAUGACGAGGCACUACGGUGCUGAAGCAACAAAUGCCCUGCUUCCAGGAAAAGCCUCUAAGCAUCAGGUAACAUCAAAUCGUACCCCAAACCGACACAGGUGGUCAGGUAGAGAAUACCAAGGCGCUUGAGAGAACUCGGGUGAAGGAACUAGGCAAAAUGGUGCCGUAACUUCGGGAGAAGGCACGCUGACACGUAGGUGAAGUGAUUUACUCAUGGAGCUGAAGUCAGUCGAAGAUACCAGCUGGCUGCAACUGUUUAUUAAAAACACAGCACUGUGCAAACACGAAAGUGGACGUAUACGGUGUGACGCCUGCCCGGUGCCGGAAGGUUAAUUGAUGGGGUCAGCGCAAGCGAAGCUCCUGAUCGAAGCCCCGGUAAACGGCGGCCGUAACUAUAACGGUCCUAAGGUAGCGAAAUUCCUUGUCGGGUAAGUUCCGACCUGCACGAAUGGCGUAAUGAUGGCCAGGCUGUCUCCACCCGAGACUCAGUGAAAUUGAACUCGCUGUGAAGAUGCAGUGUACCCGCGGCAAGACGGAAAGACCCCGUGAACCUUUACUAUAGCUUGACACUGAACAUUGAGCCUUGAUGUGUAGGAUAGGUGGGAGGCUUUGAAGUGUGGACGCCAGUCUGCAUGGAGCCGGCCUUGAAAUACCACCCUUUAAUGUUUGAUGUUCUAACGUGGACCCGUGAUCCGGGUUGCGGACAGUGUCUGGUGGGUAGUUUGACUGGGGCGGUCUCCUCCUAAAGAGUAACGGAGGAGCACGAAGGUUGGCUAAUCCUGGUCGGACAUCAGGAGGUUAGUGCAAUGGCAUAAGCCAGCUUGACUGCGAGCGUGACGGCGCGAGCAGGUGCGAAAGCAGGUCAUAGUGAUCCGGUGGUUCUGAAUGGAAGGGCCAUCGCUCAACGGAUAAAAGGUACUCCGGGGAUAACAGGCUGAUACCGCCCAAGAGUUCAUAUCGACGGCGGUGUUUGGCACCUCGAUGUCGGCUCAUCACAUCCUGGGGCUGAAGUAGGUCCCAAGGGUAUGGCUGUUCGCCAUUUAAAGUGGUACGCGAGCUGGGUUUAGAACGUCGUGAGACAGUUCGGUCCCUAUCUGCCGUGGGCGCUGGAGAACUGAGGGGGGCUGCUCCUAGUACGAGAGGACCGGAGUGGACGCAUCACUGGUGUUCGGGUUGUCAUGCCAAUGGCACUGCCCGGUAGCUAAAUGCGGAAGAGAUAAGUGCUGAAAGCAUCUAAGCACGAAACUUGCCCCGAGAUGAGUUCUCCCUGAGACUUUAGGUCUCCUGAAGGAACGUUGAAGACGACGACGUUGAUAGGCCGGGUGUGUAAGCGCAGCGAUGCGUUGAGCUAACCGGUACUAAUGAACCGUGAGGCUUAACCUUACA
rnacentral:rRNA from 1 species